CAGUAGCCACGGGAAUACGAAGGGUGCAAGCGUUAUUCGGAAUUACUGGGCGUAAAGCGUGCGUAGGUGGUGGUUUAAGUCCGUUGUGAAAGCCCUGGGCUCAACCUGGGAAUUGCAGUGGAUACUGGGUCACUAGAGUGUGGUAGAGGAUAGUGGAAUUUCCGGUGUAGCAGUGAAAUGCGUAGAGAACGGAAGGAACGUCUGUGGCGAAGGCGACUAUCUGGGCCAACACUGACACUGAGGCACGAAAGCGUGGGGAGCAAACAGGAUUAGAUACCCCGGUAGUCCCUGUCUCUUAUAC
rnacentral:rRNA from 1 species